GCCCUGAACGCAUCACUCCGAAACGGUGCAGGACCAUCAUCGUAAGUAUCAUAUCUCGCGUUUGUUUUCCUUUCAUUGAAGUGUUCAUUUUGCAACAAACGCUGCCUAAAUAUAGUUUACAGUUCAAACCGACCUGAAUCAUCACAGUUGUUAAGUAAAAGUAUCAAUCCAGUGUCUGUGAGGCUCAGCAGAAACACAGGACAAUCUUCGGUUGCCAGGAAACUUUAACAAAUAUAGCAAUCCAAAUAUAGCAUGUUGUUGUUGGUGUUUCCACCUUUACAUGUUAUCACUGCUCAACAAACAUUGCAUUGUUGUCCUCCUUAUAAGAAACAUUAAGAUACACAUUAGCUCGUUUCUGCCUACUCUUUGUAUCGUCCGCCAUGCUAUUUUCUCGGUCUCUGUUCCCGUUCGCGUAGACUGGCUCUCGCGAGACCAUUGUUCAAGGCACCCGGAAGACAGGAAUCAUUAAAGGAAUCGUUAAGGGAAUCCUUUGGAUAAAAUGUAAAUGAUGUAGAUGGAUUAAACCAUUUGGAACCGGUUCUCAACAUGAACUGGUUCUCAUUCCCAUCCCUAAUUUUAACUAUUUUCACGCGAACAUAACAGUUGUGAAGAUAUUUAGUAACAUGUACUUAAUUACAGCCAAGUUUGAAAGUUAUAUUUAUUUAAACAAAUUAAGUGAAGUCUACUUGAGGUUCAUAGGCAGGAACAAGUGCAUUUUAUAUCUCUGUAGUAUUUGCUGUUGUGAAAUAAUUAAGUAGAUAUUAUUUCUUUUCUUGUGCUUGACAUUUUAAUUUACUUGGUUGAUCAGAUUUCAUGAAGUGCUUUAUUGGUGACCCUCAAAGUGCUUUACAUUGGCUUUACAUUCAUUCGCUCACACAGUCACAACCUGGUGGUGGUAAACUACCUUAGUAGUCACAGCUGCCCUGGGGCAGACUGAAGGAAAUGUGGCUGCAGUUCGCAUCUACAACCUCUCCGAACGCCACCACACAACACUCACAAUCACACACUAGUAGAGGACACACACUGGGAGCAAGGUGGGUUAAGGGGUUGAACCGCCAACCCUCCAGUUAUUGGACAACCACUCCACCUCCUAAGCUACUGCCGCCCCGACCUUGCUCUGUGAACCUGCAAUAUCCGGACUCGGAGCAGAGCCAGUCCUGCUGUUUCAAAAUGCUACACUUUCAGAGUAAAGUUUAUGUAGUAUUUGUAGGUUUAUGUACAUACAACUAUUCAACAUUUAAAUACUGUAAGGAAACCUAAGUAAAACCUACUCUUCCCCCAUGAUUGAUGUAUUACGUUAAAAAAUGUUUGAUUUUUACAUAAGAAAUUCUAGUUCUUACUGACUCUAAAAAAAUACAGGGUAGAAAUUGUAACAGUUACUCUAAUAGAGUCUACUACACUAAAAAGUCACUUUUUUCCGUGUGAUAUCAGAGGGAGGGACUAUAAAGUUUGCUGACUACAGGCCAGAAUAAUUUCCUUUGACUCUGAGGGUGGUGACUGCUAUCCAGACAGUCCGGCUCUACUCCCACAAUGUUACUGGAAUCGCAGAUGAGUUUUUUUUAUUCUGUUGGCAUCUGCUACCCUCAGCCUGCUGCCUCAGCACACAACAGCAGACAGGAUCGCACAGACUGAUAGAACCUUCCCAGCGUCGUCCUGCAGAUGUUGAAAGACCUCAGCCUCCUGAGGACGUAGAGGCAGCUGAGGCCCUUCUAUUAGAGAGCUUCAUUGUUCUUAGACUAGUCCAGUUUUUUAUUCAAGCACACCCCCAGAUACUUGUAGUCAGGGCUGGGCGACAUGGGAAAAAGUUAAUCAUGAUAUAUUUUUUUAUAUCAGUCCAUAUCGAUAUAUAUCAUGAUAUAAAAAAUUAUAUUUAACAGUACUAAUUGGUAGCAUGCCUUUUUCAAUACAAUAAGCUACAGCAUCUGUGAGGUCUUUGUGUCUCUUCCAUGUUUUAUUAUAAGGCGUUGUGCUAGAAAAAGCAGACUGAAUGUCCUCCUACAGCUAUGCAAUCUUCAUACGCCAAUAGGCUGUAUUAAGUGCCAAUCAUAGAAAACAUGAACCCCCCGAUAACUUUUCAAAAUUGAGCUGCACAGAAAGUGACAAGAUCUGAUUCCACUGCCUUUUGAUUGUAGUUGCUGGAUGAAUUAUUUUGGUAGACCAGUGAAUAGACUAUUUCUGUUAUCUAGUCUGUUUUGAUAUAAAGGCAAUAACUGAUUCUUCUGUGCCUGAUUGUAAAAGAAAGCCCCUGAGUUUUUGGGAUAUUUUUGGACUGUAAAAUGAUGGAGGUGUGAUUGGAUUGAUAUAACCUUUGAAGGUUAGAUUGCUGUCUGUGACAACACCUACAUGUUGUGCUUGAUUUGAACAGGCUAAGUAAAGAGAACUGAGAUAAGUGUAAUUUUGCGUCCAUGAAUCUUUGGACCAAAAUGGAAAUUUCUGUUUUGUCUCUGUUCAGUAGUAAAAGUUACCUCUCAUCUGCACAUUAAUAUCACUGAUGCACUGAAUGGGGGAAUGAACUGGGCUUUAAUCAUCAGGUGAUAGUUGUAUGUAUUUGUAAAUCUUCAUAAUUAUGGUAACUUAUUGUUACAUGUGAAAUUGGGAGCAUGUACAGAUCAAACAGUAGUGUUUCAAUGAUCGAGCCUUGAGGAAAAUCACACAUGGCAUUCACUUUACUUGAGACAUGGUCUCUGAUGGACACAAAGUUCUGUCUGGGUAUGACCUGAACUAGCUUAAAACCGGCCCAGACAAGCUCAUCUAUUUUCUAGUCUCUGCAGUAGUAUGUUAUGAUCCACAGUGUCUCAGGCAGCAUUUAGAAGCCGGAGAACCAAAAUUUUUUUUUUUUCAGCGAUCAUUUUACGCUUUAAUAGACGUUUCUGCACUAUGAUGAGAGUGAAAACCUGACUCAUACAUGUGUAAUUGGUUGUUUGUCACGGCAAGUGGGUGUUUUUUCAAGUAUUUGAGGGAUUUGAUAUGAUCAUGUUCACGUUACCCCAAUUUUGUCCAUAUUAUUUGAUGUCUUGUGUUUCCUGUUAGUUUUACUUUGUUAUCACUAACCCUCGUCUCUGUCUUUUAGAUAUGUUCCUUCUUGUCUGGUCUGCUCUCCCCUGUCUUGUCACACCUGCCUCCUGAUUGGUCAUCCCCACCUGUUUCCCAUCACCCUUAUUACCUCUUGUAUUAUGUCUCUCACUGUCUCGUUGCCAGUUUGUUGAUCCUCAUUGUCAGGUACCAGCAUUCUUGUUUUUUCAUAACCUGCCUGUUAUUGACUUUGAUUUAGAUACCUCUGCCCGUUUGUAGCUUUUUCAUGUACCGUACUUAGACUGUGAAUAAACCCUGUCUUUUUUGCCACACAGAAUCAGUCCCCUGGUCCGGCAUUUAAGUCAUUUUUGUUUAGCCUGUUCUUGACAGAAUUGUUUUGUGGAAAUAGGGUUAUAGUUGAUGAUAAUUGUUGGAUUAAAGUUGCCCUUCUUGAUAAGUGAUUUAAUAAGAGCAGUUCUGAGCGAACCGUUCAGACAGAGAAACAGAUAGCAAUCAACAGAGGGUGCGGUGCUGUGAAAUUAUUUGCAUGCAGUUACUUAACACACAGAAGUGGAGCUUGGCUGUUGAUUGUUUUUAUGUGAAAUUUCUGAUUCAUCUGAUAAAGGCCAAACAUCUGGAGCAAUGACUGUGCUGAACAAGUAGGGAGGCUUAAGUGAAAGCACCACACUUAUAGUCCAGAUGGAUGUACUCUGUGUCACAAACCUAAAAAUACAGCCUGGAAAAACCCGCCCUUUAAGUUCUGGUCAUCACUUGUUACUUUGCUUAUUCUGUCAUAGAUGGUAAAAUUUGUUGAAGUGGGUAGAAACAAAUUUCUGGAAUACCACUGGAAUAUUUACUGAAAAGUAAUAGUUAUCUUAUUUCUUUGAGUUGUUGCCGGCUUGUUUGGCUCCUGCCAUUUGGUUAAGAGCCUGGAAGUAAAGUGUUAUUGUGUUGUGAAGUACCCUGUUGUUCUCAAUAAAUGGGUGGGAAUGGGAUAUUCAUCGAAUGGCGUUGACUAAGCUGACUCAACACAUAAAAUUGUACCAUUUUGUUGCUAAGUAGUAAUAUGGAAGUGUGAAAAGUUAGAUUGUCUCUUGAACACCCUGAUUUGUUCCUUUUCAUGUGCAGUUGUUUAAAUUUCUGUCACAGUUACACUUAGAGUCUGGACACAGAUCUCUUUGGUUAAAACCAUUUUAAAGCAUUGCACACUUCACUCUUCCUGUUUGCUUUUUGUCAUUACAAUAGUAUCGUAACAUGCAAGUGUAAUCUGGCUGACCCAGAACCCCAGCAUUCAGUCUACUUUUAUCAUGUGUGGUGGUUUGUUAAAUGAAUGUGUAGAACCUGUAAAAUUAUUUUAUCAUUCACGUUCAGUCAUCUGUCUUUACUGUUGUAGUAAAUGAUGUACUGCGUUUUACAUACAGUAGUGUGUUACCACACUCACCAGUGGGUGGCGUAGGAGUCUCUUUUGCUGAAUUCAUGAAAGUAGCUGGUGACCUCAUGAAAGUAGCUGUUGUUGGAGCAGUUUGUCGGAAAAGCUCUUGAUGAUUUGGCUCAUCUGUAUAUGAGAGACAUGCUAACCAGUUACAUGCCAGCAAGAACUCUUCAUCAAUUAGAAAAUAAAAGUGCAAAGCAGCGAGCGCUACCAGGCCUACCCAUGUAUAAUGGUGAAGACUGCUGCUUCUCAUAGAAGAUUUCAGCUGUGCUGGUCACUUGUGUGUCUAUUUGCAUUGAAGACAGCAACUCACAGAUGUUUUUGCAAGUCUGCAACUUAAAAAUUGCAAAAUUCAUACUUCUAAAAUGAACAAUAGUUAACCUUUGUGUGGACUCAGAUUCCAGAAGUACCUGAAGAUAGAAAACCUAUUGUCCUGAAAUCUCUCUAGCACAAGCCCCUGUCUGCCUCACUGCUUUCUACUGUCCUGUUUUCACAGACCAUUGUCUUAUCGCAGGUAUGACUCAGAGCAGUGUUCCCCAGGUGUCUUGAUAACAUCUGAACAAGCGUCUUCUUUGCUGAAACCUCAGCUAUGAAUUAAAUUAUCUAAGGUUCUGAUAGCACAGUUCUGCAACAGUUCUUUCAUUUCUAGAGCGGUUCAUCCAGAGUGCACUGCGUUCAGUUAUGGGCCACCUGUCUGUUAUGCAAUUUAGUGUUUGUUUGGUAAAUUCCUGUGGGAUUAUAUAAAUGUAAUCUUGUAACUAAAACUUGUAAAAGUUCUGUUUCAUACUAGCCGGUUACAAUUUGUGUCUCUGUGAAUGGCUCAUCCAUGUGGUCCUGAUGUGAGAUGUGAUUUUACAUUAAAUGCUUGUGGGGGUCACACUUGGCACAAACAGAACAAAAAUGCAUGACUCAGACAGGAGCAAAUAAUUCAAAAAGUUUAACUUCAGGUUGAGUCAAAAAAAAAAAAAAAAAAAUCAAACAAAGGUACAAGGUCAGUGGGCAGAAGCUGGUCCAAAACUGAAGAAUCAUCAGAAUCAGAAUACUUGACUUAUCCUGGGGGAGAAAAUUGGUCAUUACAGCGUUGCACUUUCUCUUGAAAAAACAAAAUGGAGAAAAGAAAUAGGAAUAAAUAACAAUAAAUAAGAAAUUGCAGCAGUUAGUAAAAAGUGCUGAAUUAGGAUAGCAAUUCACAAAGUGUGGAGUGUUUAAGAAAUAAGCUAUGUGCAAGCAUAGAGAGUAAAAAGUGCAAAAAAACAGUUUGCAACAUUGCACUGUAGGAUAUUGCACGGACUGUAUUGUUGUUUAACAGAUUGUUACACAGUUAACUGAGUAUUGAACAGUGUAGUUUCAGAAACAAUAGUAUUGCAGAUAAAGGUCAUACAUGAAGAAUACUAACAGUAGAAAAGGGUGAAACUCACACCGAUAAAAGACAAACUGGCACAAAUUAAAGUAGAACAUAGAGGCUGUAUUGAAACUGGCUGCUAUUCUCGUGUGUAUUUGCCCAAAAUAUAGUUUGCAGUAUGCGAACAAAUGCAGGAGUUGCAAUAUGCCAAAAAUUCCUGUAUGACAUACUAAUUCAGAAAAAUUUUACAACAUGCAUCAGACAAGUCUCCUUCAUGUACUGUUACCCACAAUGCAAAGUGCCUGAUCAGAGUUUGCAUUAGCAGAACCCUUUUUAUGGGCGAUAUCGGGCUAUAAAAAUCCCCAAAAUUCAAAUCAAACACCAGUCAAUUUUUUUCUGUAUAUGGAUGGACAACACUGUAGCAUUGUUUUCAGUUGACCAGGGUAUGACAUACUUUAGUAAACUGGACGCCAGUGAAACCAGGCCAAGCAUACUACACAAUAAUGGCCGACUGGCAGUCAUACUGUAUACUACUGUCCAACGCAGUAUGUACUGUGCACUGCAUUCAACAGGAAUAUGGAGUAGGUGGUUUUAAAUACAGCCAGAGACUAAAUAAGGUAAAUGAAGACAGUGAGACAUAUGUGAAACACAUUAGGGAGGGGCAGGUAAUCACAGAUUAGGAACACAGGAGGGCAGGAAAUGAAGGAUCUGAAACAAGACACAGGCUGGGUAACAAUAGGUGAAACAAACUGGUCCGAUGCAUACUGUGAAAUUUUCCCGAAUUAGUACGUCAUUCGGGUAUUUGCAUACUGUAAAUUUGGCAUUUUUUUUUUACCAUACUGCAUACUAAAUUUUGGGUAAAUCAGUACGUACUGCUAGAAAAGUAGGCGAAUUCAAAAACGGCCACAGAUGAAUAUCAACACAAAACAGUAAACUCAAGACAUGCUACAUCAAGAUAACAAAAGGUAACUUAAUUGUGGGGAUGUGACCCUGCAGAGAUGGAUUGAUGGAUUUUUUUGAGAAAAAGGGGAAAAAAAAUCAGUUUUAAAAAUGUCGUGGAUACAGCCUAAAGGCAGCCAUAAUCUCAGGCUGGUGUAAUAGUCAGGUCUGCCAUCACAGCCAAGGUCAAAUCCACAUUGGAUAGCUGAGAUUGUCCAUCUUUGGUUUUCUGAUAAAAACAAAUCAUCACCAAGUUGAUACAGGAUGUGAAUAACUCAAAAAAAUGCCCCCCCCCCGAGGAGCAACAAUGUUUGAACUUCCCACAGGGCAUCAUCAAAUCCAAGCUAUUUUGACUUUCUUUAGAACAGAACCAUUUGGUCCAGUUAUCAUCAGAUAAGGUCACAAGGAGUCCAAAAGACAUUGGCGCCUAUUUGCAUGCCUCUUCUUGAGCAGUUCCUAUUAAAUGCUUGACGACAGAUAAACAAAUUUCAAAGCCUUACAAGCACAGUUUACAGAAUACUUAGGAGCAAAAACUUCACAGGAGAUGACGAGUUCAAACAACCUGAUGACAAAACACUUUUAAACCUCUUUGGUCUAUCGUGCAGGUCUAAUGUGGGGGUGAUAAAGUCACACCAUCCAUACAUGUUGAUUUAUGAGGACUUGACGCCCAACCCUUUCAUCUCUGAACUUUGAGGUUGCUUUACCAGCUCCAGAAAAGUUUGUGGAGGAAGACGUCUUUAUGUUAAACAAUAAUGUGCAGAACUCUAAAGGUUAAAUCAAACAAAAGACAAAGCAUGAAAGUCCAACAAUUUUUUUUUCUGAAAUAGAAAAUGUCCAGCUGAAAAAAUACAAAUCCAAAAAACUCCAAAAUCAAAAAGAAACACUAGAAACAAGGAAGAACAGGGGAGCACUGGAAAUACACAAGAUGUCCAAUCAUUGACAAUGAACAAUGAAACAACAAAGAGGGAAGGCAACACAGGGACUAAAUACGCUGGGUAACAAGCAACAAGAGACAGGUGAGACACGAACACACAGGUGCAGACACUCACUGAGGAGGGAAAACACAGGAAGUAAAACUUAACAACAGGGAACAGGAACACCAGGAAAAGUAUAACUAAAUUAAGAAACCAGGAAAAACUAAAUGAAGGAGAAGAUUUUAUGACAAAGACAUGUAUGCAGCUACGUUUCCAGUGUUGUAAAUGAACAAACUGAACAGUUCUGGAGUCAGAGCAAAAUACCCCGAAUAUGUAUGCUUUGUACAGACAACCUGAAACAGUGUUAGAGAAAAACUUUUUAAUGGAAAUGCUUAGCGGACACUCUACACUUUUGUUACACCAUUGUGUGAACUGAAAAGAACUGAAAGAAUUUGGAAGUACAACAUGUGUUUUGUCUUAAGAUCUGUGUGACUGAAAGAACCUUUUUGUUUCAGAAUCUGUCACAUCGCUUGCCACUAUCAUCUCAUCACCAGAAAGGUUUGCAGAAGGAGACUGGAGAUUUGAGCAAAAUAAAGAAUAACAUGUGAAUCAGCCCAUGCCUUUCUCUCUUGCAGUCUGAAGAUGUGGUUUUGUUUAGAUUGGUCUCUGUGAUGGUGCUAAGUUUGCCAGAUAUAGUUAUUGGUUAUUUAAAGGGAUAUUCCGGCGUAAAAAUGAAUUUAUGGUCAAACGCACCGUAACUCUGAGUUAGACACCCCCUCGAGAGAUGAAUGUUGCCGACCGCUUACUUCUCUAGUUAUACCAACUUUAGUAACGACUGCAGGAUAGCAACACAGAGAGCCACAUGCUCAACCAAAACGCCACUCUAGAGCCACAAAUAAUGCUCAGAACAGCACCUAACUUCAUCAACAGUAUAUAUAGGAUCCUAGCCACCAAACAUCUUUUUAACUUUUCCUGAUUUCUUUAGCAAAGAGACUAAACACAACUCACCCACUGUCUUCCAGCAGACGCUUGUUUGAAGUGAGACCUCAAACAUCGCAGUCCAUGCGUUUCAUUUUUUUCAUUUCUGCUGCUGAAUCAUGAUGUUUAUCCUCAGUUGUGGGGUACUUUGAAAUUAUUUCCUUCAAAAGCAUCUUCUCACUUUCACUAAGGUUUUUGGAACGCUUUCUUUUCCUUUUCUUCAUGCUUGAUCAUUGGUCAAACUCCUGUUCCACACGCACACAGCUAAAAUUUAUUCUACAUUUGGAAACUGGGCCCCAGUUUCCAAAUGUAAGCCGAGGGAGGCUUUGAAAGAUCAGACUGAGGAAGCCAACAAAGAGGAUUCUGGUUUUGAUUCAAAGGGAAAGACAAAGUGAGACCUUUUGUGAGACACUUUCACUUUUAGUUUACAAGCAUAGGUCUUGGAGAUGUUGAACCAGUUCUGGUUGGGAUCAAUAGGAAUGUUACCAACACAAGUAGAGAAAUGAUUGCUCAAUGCUAAGUAAACAGUUGAGUUCUGGGUAAUCACGAGCAAAACCAUCCAGGCUGGGGCUGCUGUUGUUGUGCGGAUCGAAAAGAACGGUUAGUGCGGAUGAAAAUCAGGUUGGGGCUUGCUGUUUACCGGACUGGAAAGAGGUGUGGAUUUUUUAAUACAUGAUUCACUGACAAGGUGCUAACAUAUAUGAUUGUCAGUCUGUAACUUAGAUUUGUACUUUUCCACUGAAAACAAACUGUGAGUAAUACAAUUUAACACGUGUUUUCAUUUAACCACAGGUUCACUUUGACGUCUACCUCGAUGAGGAGCAACCUGAUGUGCCUCAAGGCUCUCUUUGUUCUGUUGGACAGGUUUAAGCAGCGAACUGAGCACCUGCUUACAGCCCCAUGGCCAGAAGGGUGCCACCAGGAGCAAUCAAAAAACAAUAAUAAUAAUAAUUUCUUGCAUGUAUUAUUGAUGCUCUCUGUAUGAU